rnacentral:rRNA from 1 species
UACGUAGGGGGCAAGCGUUGUCCGGAAUUAUUGGGCGUAAAGCGCGCGCAGGCGGCCAUUUAAGUUGGGUGUAUAAGCCCGGGGCUCAACCCCGGACCGCACCGAAAACUGGGUGGCUUGAGUGCGGGAGAGGAAAGUGGAAUUCCACGUGUAGCGGUGAAAUGCGUAGAUAUGUGGAGGAACACCAGUGGCGAAGGCGACUUUCUGGACCGUAACUGACGCUGAGGCGCGAAAGCGUGGGGAGCAAACAGG